UCUUCCGAUCUCCCACAUAUGCGUUGUGGCUCCGAAUGGUGAUGUAGUUUCGGUAACCAGCAGUAUAAAUUAUAUAUUUGGAGCAAAAUUCAUGUCGGAAAGCACAGGUAUCAUCCUGAAUGAUUCAAUGGAUGAUUUCUCAAUCCCGGGCGAGUCUAAUGUAUUUGGUUUUCCAUCUUCCCCUACAAAUUACAUAGAACCUGGUAAACGACCAAUGUCAUCCAUGUGUCCUUCAAUCAUAUUAAAUAACGGCUACGUAUAUAUGGUUAUUGGUGGAGCAGGUGGUAGCAAAAUUAUAUCCAAUGUCCUUCAGGUUAUCAUCAAUCGCCUAUAUUACCGUUAUAAUUUGGAAGAUGCGACAGAUGAGGAGAGGAUCCACCACCAGCUCUUUCCGAUGAGUCUACAACUAGAAAACAUGUUUCUAAGAACCAAACCAGAUAUUGUUGAUGGUUUUCAAGAAAUAGGUCACGAAUUAACGUUCUCAAAACCGGAUGGAUUUGCAGCAGUAACUUCCAUCUGCAGAGAUGAUUAUGGACGACUUGAAGGUGUGACAGACAAAAGCAGAGGCGGAUCAGUAGCUUAUUUAUAUUGAA